rnacentral:rRNA from 1 species
AUUCAGAGUUUGAUCCUGGCUCAGGACGAACGCUGGCGGCGUGCUUAACACAUGCAAGUCGAACGGAAAGGCCCUGCUUUUGUGGGGUGCUCGAGUGGCGAACGGGUGAGUAACACGUGAGUAACCUGCCCUUGACUUUGGGAUAACUUCAGGAAACUGGGGCUAAUACCGGAUAGGAGCUCCUGCUGCAUGGUGGGGGUUGGAAAGUUUCGGCGGUUGGGGAUGGACUCGCGGCUUAUCAGCUUGUUGGUGGGGUAGUGGCUUACCAAGGCUUUGACGGGUAGCCGGCCUGAGAGGGUGACCGGCCACAUUGGGACUGAGAUACGGCCCAGACUCCUACGGGAGGCAGCAGUGGGGAAUAUUGCACAAUGGGCGGAAGCCUGAUGCAGCAACGCCGCGUGCGGGAUGACGGCCUUCGGGUUGUAAACCGCUUUCGCCUGUGACGAAGCGUGAGUGACGGUAAUGGGUAAAGAAGCACCGGCUAACUACGUGCCAGCAGCCGCGGUGAUACGUAGGGUGCGAGCGUUGUCCGGAUUUAUUGGGCGUAAAGGGCUCGUAGGUGGUUGAUCGCGUCGGAAGUGUAAUCUUGGGGCUUAACCCUGAGCGUGCUUUCGAUACGGGUUGACUUGAGGAAGGUAGGGGAGAAUGGAAUUCCUGGUGGAGCGGUGGAAUGCGCAGAUAUCAGGAGGAACACCAGUGGCGAAGGCGGUUCUCUGGGCCUUUCCUGACGCUGAGGAGCGAAAGCGUGGGGAGCGAACAGGCUUAGAUACCCUGGUAGUCCACGCUGUAAACGGUGGGUACUAGGUGUGGGGUCCAUUCCACGGGUUCCGUGCCGUAGCUAACGCUUUAAGUACCCCGCCUG